UGCCUGGCGGCCGUAGCGCGGUGGUCCCACCUGACCCCAUGCCGAACUCAGAAGUGAAACGCCGUAGCGCCGAUGGUAGUGUGGGGUCUCCCCAUGCGAGAGUAGGGAACUGCCAG
rnacentral:rRNA from 1 species